GCCAGGCAUGGUGGCUCAUGCCUGUAAUCCCAGGACUUUGGGAGGCUGAGGUGGGUGGAUCACCUGAGGUCAGGAGUUUGAGACCAGCCUGGCCAACAUGGUGAAACCCCGUCUCUA
rfam:Gorilla gorilla gorilla genomic chromosome, chr8, whole genome shotgun sequence